AGAACGCAGCGAAAUGCGAUAAGUAGUGUGAAUUGCAGAAUUCAGUGAAUCAUCGAAUCUUUGAACGCACAUUGCGCCCCUUGGUAUUCCAUGGGGCAUGCCUGUUCGAGCGUCAUUUGUACCUUCAAGCUCUGCUUGGUGUUGGGUGUUUGUCUCGCCUCUGCGUGUAGACUCGCCUCAAAACAAUUGGCAGCCGGCGUAUUGAUUUCGGAGCGCAGUACAUCUCGCGCUUUGCACUCAUAACGACGACGAUCCAAAAGUACAUUUUUACACUCUUGACCUCGGAUCAGGUAGGGAUACCCGCUGAACUUAAGCAUAUCAAUAAGCGGAGGAA
rnacentral:rRNA from 2 species